rnacentral:tRNA from 1 species
GCUAGCGUAGCUCAAUUGGCAGAGCUCCCGACUUGUAAUCGGAAGGUUGCGGGUUCAAGUCCCAUCGCUAGCUCCA